rnacentral:rRNA from 1 species
UACGGGGGGUGCGAGCGUUGUCCGGAAUCACUGGGCGUAAAGGGCGCGUAGGUGGUUUGAUAAGGGUGUGGUGAAAGCCCGGAGCUCAACUCCGGGUCUGCCGUGCCGACUGUCAAACUCGAGGGCUGUAGAGGCAGACGGAAUUCCGGGUGUAGCGGUGGAAUGCGUAGAGAUCCGGAGGAAGACCGGUGGCGAAGGCGGUCUGCUGGGCAGUUUCUGACACUGAAGCGCGACAGCGUGGGGAGCAAACAGG